rnacentral:rRNA from 1 species
AUUGAACGCUGGCGGCAGGCCUAACACAUGCAAGUCGAACGAGUGGCGGACGGGUGAGUAAUGUCUGGGAAACUGCCCGAUGGAGGGGGAUAACUACUGGAAACGGUAGCUAAUACCGCAUACCAUCGGAUGUUCCCAGAUUGGAUUAGCUAUUAGGUGGGGUAAUGGCUCACCUAGGCGAAGAUCCCUAGCUGGUCUGCGAGGAUGACCAGCCACACCGGAACUGAGACACGGUCCAGACUCCUACGGGAGGCAGCAUUGGGGAAUAUUGCACAAUGGGCGAAAGCCUGAUGCAGCCAUGCCGCGUGUAUGAAGAAGGCCUUCGGGUUGUAAAGUACUUUCAGCGGGGAGGCGUUACCUGAUGAAGAAGCACCGGCUAACUCCGUGCCAGCAGCCGCGGUAAUUC